rnacentral:rRNA from 1 species
UGGGGAAUAUUGGGCAAUGGGGGGAACCCUGACCCAGCGACGCCGCGUGAGGGAAGACGGCCUUCGGGUUGUAAACCUCUUUUGUACGGGAAGAAGGACGUGACGGUACCGUACGAAUAAGUCCCGGCUAACUACGUGCCAGCAGCCGCGGUAAUACGUAGGGGACGAGCGUUGUCCGGAAUUACUGGGCGUAAAGGGCGCGCAGGCGGUAUAUCAAGUCAGCUGUCAAAGACUGGGGCUCAACCCUGGUAUGCGGUUGAAACUGAUAUGCUGGAGUGCUGUAGAGGCAAGUGGAAUUCCCAGUGUAGCGGUGAAAUGCGUAGAUAUUGGGAAGAACACCGGUGGCGAAGGCGACUUGCUGGGCAGCAACUGACGCUGAGGCGCGAAAGCCAGGGGAGCAAACG